CGCGUAGGCGGUUUUUUAAGUCUGAUGUGAAAGCCCACGGCUCAACCGUGGAGGGUCAUUGGAAACUGGAAAACUUGAGUGCAGAAGAGGAAAGUGGAAUUCCAUGUGUAGCGGUGAAAUGCGCAGAGAUAUGGAGGAACACCAGUGGCGAAGGCGACUUUCUGGUCUGUAACUGACGCUGAGGCGCGAAAGCGUGGGGAGCAAACAGGAUUAGAUGCCCUGGUAGUCCACGCCGUAAACGAUGAGUGCUAAGUGUUAGAGGGUUUCCGCCCUUUAGUGCUGAAGUUAACGCAUUAAGCACUCCGCCUGGGGAGUACGGCCGCAAGGCUGAAACUCAAAAGAAUUGACGG
rnacentral:rRNA from 1 species